GCAGCGGGACGGCUCGUCGCGGGCGCCUUUGAGCGUCUGAGGAAAGUCCGGGCAACGCAGAGCGCCACACUCUCUAACGGUGAGCUAUCGGUGACGGUAGAGACAACGUGACAGAAAAUAACCGCCCAGCCUUAGGCUGUGGUAAGGGUGAAAAGGUGGGGUAAGAGCCCACCGGACGCCAUAGCGAUAUGGUGUGCCGCACGUCUUGUGGGUUGCAAGGUCAAGUAUACUGGCAUCUAAGGGUUGCUCGCCCAUUGCCAGGGGGUAGACUGCUACGGACCGGCAUUUGUCGGCCAAAGAUAAAUGACGAGCCCCCGAGCUUCGCUUGGGGACAUAACCCGGCUUACAGGCCCACUGCCCAA
rnacentral:RNase_P_RNA from 1 species